UGAAUUUUUAUAAACCAGCGCCGUCUUUGAUGAAUAAAUGUUAAUUUAUUUAUUAACAAAACAUUAGACAACACAAAUUUUGACAACUGUGAAACGCAAUAUUCAAAAUGUCACCACUUUCCAAUCAGGAUAUUUGAAAGGAACUGUCACUGCUUUGACUGACUGCUACUUAUGUCGGACUAAAUCAAAGUUUUGAAAUGUUUGCACGAUUUUGAGUAAGCUUUAGCUGUGAGACAUUCAAUGACAAUUUAUUUUGUGUGAUUUCCUACUCCAUUUCCGUUUAAAUCUUCUUUGUUUAUAAUUCUCAACAUUGAAUUUUUGUGCAAAAAUAUUUGUUUAUAUUAAAGAUAAUUAAUUUUUGAAAAAGUUGAUAUCUUUUAGCACUGAUCAGUCGCAAGUCUACUUUAUAACUGUUAAUGAUCUUGGGCAAAUCAAAUCAACAAAGGUGAUGAGAUCUGAUAAGAGUACUCUAUCUUGUAAGGCUAUGCCCACAUCAACAGUCAUCAAGUGGGAAAGCUGAUUGGUUACAAUAUAUACAGGAAAUUCUUAUUGGAAUGCUUUAGCAGUUAAAAAACCAACAAAGACAUAACCUCUAUGGGAAAUGAAAGUCGAGCGUAAAAUGGAUUUAUAUACGUCAUGGGGUAAUUAAUCUGAAUAAAUAACGAACAAACUGAUACACCUUUUUUAGAAAUCAAAGCUCUGUAUUAUAACUGAAAAUAAUAAAUUCAAAUAAAUCAUAAAAAAAUAAAGUUUUUACAAAAUAAAAAAAUCUUUUGUUAUCAUGUUAGCUAUGAGGAUAUAUUGUAUUUGGAACGAUCUCGAAAGUUAUAAUUCUCUAUUAUCAAGUGGGAUCCAUUUCGAAGUUCUCUACUUUUUUAAAGAAAAAACAAAAAACAGAAAAUUCAAAUUUAAUGGGGAACGUUUAUUUUCAUUUGAAAGAACAUUCUUUAGCAUUUAUUUUUUAAAGAUUAUCUUUUUCAAAUAUUGGCCGCGGCUACGUCUCAGAUGGUCCAUCCAUUGAGUCCAAUUUUCGAUGACUCGUUCGAACUUUUCGAAUUGUAACUGGCGAAUGACACGCGUGCUGUUUUGCUCCAAGGCAUGAAUCGAAGCGGGAUUGUCGGAAUAGACUUUAGACUUUACCUAUCCCCAAAGGAAAAGGUCUAACAGCGCGAUAUCACAUGAUCUUGGUGGCCAAUCGACAGGUCCAAAAAGUGAAAUUAUCUGCUCACCCAAGUGUCCCCUCAAUAAAUUCAUGCAAUGUGUGGGAAGUGGCGCCGUCUUUUUGAAACCUAAUGAAUGAAUUAUGAGCUUCAAUGUUAGACAUCAAAUAUUCGGUUAUCAUGGAAUGAUAAUGGUCGCCAUUGACGGUUACGUUCUCACAGGCAUAAUUUUUAAAGAAAUAUGGACCGAGGAUCCCACAAAUCACAUCGAACCGUUGUUUUUUCUGGAUGAAAUGACACCUCUUCAAUCUCUUCGUUCCAAAUGCGGCAAUUUUUCUUGUUUACAUACUCAGCCCUGAGGCCCAUCGCUGAAAAGAAUUUGGCCCCUAGAGCUAAGCGAUGUCGUUUGGUAAGCGGCUUCAGUUCUUGCACAAACUGUAUUUUGUACGCUUUCAAUUUAAGAUCUCGGCGUAAAGGUGCCAAAUAUUUUCAUACGUCGGUCCGAGUUGCUGUGAACGGUGCCGAAUUGACUCUCCACGGUCUUCGCGUACAUCCUCAGCUACGGCUGCUAUAUUUUUUUCACUGGACGUGGUCUAUUCGGUCGAAUAUUAUCCAAUAAUGAAUGCUGGGUCUCAAGAUGGGUGAUGGUGUUGCGAACACCCCGCUCACUAGGCCGAAAAGCUGGACACGACUCACGCGUGGUCUGUCAAAAAACGGCUAUUGAAAAAAGUACCACUACUUGAAACACCCUUUAUUAGUGAGUUAUAUUUUUUACAAUAAAAACUGCAUUUUAUUUAUAAACAUAUUCACGCUAAUAUAAUACCAACCACAACUUAUACCCAGCACUCCACACCUUCAGAAUUAAAACACAAACGCAUUAAAGUAUAGUGUUUCGUUUAUUGGACUUGAAAUGUUAACAGCAUUUUGUGUACUUAUGUAGGUAUAAUCAUCGCCGUGUGUUACACUUUGUAGUUUGCUUAACAGAAUAGAUUUCAUUUUACAAGCGUACAUAGCAAUUCUUACUAUAGACUAAUGGUGG